rnacentral:rRNA from 1 species
GCCCUUAGAGUUUGAUUUUGGCUCAGGACGAACGCUGGCGGCGUGCUUAACGCAUGCAAGUUGAACGUUCCGCCCUUUUUGGCCUUCGGGCCAUAAAGGACCACGGAAAGUGGCGGACGGGUGAGUAACGCGUGGAGAACCUAUCCUCAAGUUGAGGAUAACCUGGCGAAAGUCGGGCUAAUCCUGAAUAAGCUGACAGAUGAGCAUUCAUCAGUCAGAAAAGGUGCUUUUUAGCAUCGCUUAAGGAGGGCUCCGCGUCGGAUUAGCUAGCUGGUAGGGUAAAAGCCUACCAGGGCAACAAUCCGUAGCUGGUCUGAGAGGACGAUCAGUCACACCGGAACUGAGACACGGUCCGGACUCCUACGGGAGGCAGCAGUGGGGAAUCUUCCACAAUGGGCGCAAGCCUGAUGGAGCAACGUCGCGUGAGUGAAGAAGGCCUUCGGGUUGUAAAGCUCUGUCACCGGGGAAGAACCACCGGCAGGGGAAAUACUGCCGGUCUGACGGUACCCGGUGAGGAAGCCCUGGCUAACUACGUGCCAGCAGCCGCGGUAAUACGUAGAGGGCAAGCGUUGUCCGGAAUCAUUGGGCGUAAAGGGUACGCAGGCGGAUAGGCAAGUCAAAUGUGAAAGGUGCCGGCUCAACCGGCAGAUUGCGUUUGAAACUGUCUAUCUUGAGUACAGCAGAGGAGAGCGGAAUUCCUGGUGUAGUGGUGAAAUACGUAGAGUUCAGGAAGAACACCAGUGGCGUAGGCGGCUCUCUGGGCUGUUACUGACGCUCAGGUACGAAAGCCGGGGGAGCAAACGGGAUUAGAUACCCCCGGUAGUCCCGGCAGUAAACGAUGGACACUUGGUGUUGGGGGUUCGAUUCCCUCA